UAACACGUAGGGUGCGAGCGUUGUCCGGAAUUAUUGGGCGUAAAGAGCUCGUAGGCGGUGUGUCGCGUCGGCCGUGAAAACUUGCAGCUUAACUGUGGGCGUGCGGUCGAUACGGGCAUCACUGGAGUUCGGCAGGGGAGACUGGAAUUCCUGGUGUAGCGGUGAAAUGCGCAGAUAUCAGGAGGAACACCGGUGGCGAAGGCGGGUCUCUGGGCCGAUACUGACGCUGAGGAGCGAAAGCGUGGGGAGCGAACAGGAUUAGAUACCCUGGUAGUCCACGCCGUAAACGUUGGGCGCUAGGUGUGGGGACCAUUCCACGGUUUCUGUGCCGUAGCUAACGCAUUAAGCGCCCCGCCUGGGGAGUACGGCCGCAAGGCUA
rnacentral:rRNA from 1 species